rnacentral:rRNA from 1 species
UCAGUCGACUCCUACGGGGAGGCAGCAGUGGGGAAUAUUGCACAAUGGGGGAAACCCUGAUGCAGCCAUGCCGCGUGUGUGAAGAAGGCCUUCGGGGUUGUAAAGCACUUUCAGUAGGGAGGAAGGUAGUGUAGUUAACACCUGCACUAUUUGACGUUACCUACAGAAGAAGCACCGGCUAACUCCGUGCCAGCAGCCGCGGUAAUACGGAGGGUGCGAGCGUUAAUCGGAAUUACUGGGCGUAAAGCGCAUGCAGGCGGCCUGUUAAGUCAGAUGUGAAAGCCCGGGGCUUAACCUCGGAAUUGCAUUUGAAACUGGCAGGCUAGAGUCUUGUAGAGGGGGGUAGGAAUUUCAGGUGUAGCGGUGAAAUGCGUAGAGAUCUGAAGGAAUACCAGUGGCGAAGGCGGCCCCCUGGACAAAGACUGACGCUCAGAUGCGAAAGCGUGGGGAGCAAACAGGAUUAGAUACCCUGGUAG